UCUAACUCUGCUUUCUUUACCAGGUAGCAUUUGUCUCCACGGUUGGAAGACUGCUGCUGCAGCACAGACUGGUGUCUCUAUUAAUAGAUAUCUCAGUUGCACUACAGACAGGAAGAAGGGCAAAGGGGAAGAACACGAUGGCUUUUAGCAGCCUGACGCCUUGGUUUUUAGUUUCUGUCUCUAGUGACAGGUGGAAAAGAAGGAUGAGGAAGGGGCUUUACUGGCCCAACCAGAAAUAGUAACUAAGAACCCAUGACUGUAUUCUCUCCCUUGGACACCCCUGGGAAGCUCUGUACUGAAAAAAAAUGAAAGCCUUCCAGAUGUGUUCUGCUAUGGUCCACAGGCUGGAGGGUGCAUGGAACCCACCCAGAGGUGCUCUGCAAUCAGCAAUUCAGUGAGCCAUUCACAGU